CUAAUCCUACAAUUACCGUGUUUCCGCGCAAUUAAGCACGUGCUUAUAGCCGAGGGAAUCACCUCUUUUAGCUGAUUUGUCGCUAAACUAAGGUCGAUUUUUUUUCGGAACCAAAGCUCAAAGCCUAAUUUAAGCACGUUGGUCACUUUGAACCCAAUAAAAACGCGCUAACUUUGCUCUAAGACCAUGCUACCUCGUUUUUAAGCACUGUGCUUAAUUGCGCGGAAACACGGUAAUUAACUACAGGGUAAUUAAAAAGUUGGUCGAGGGGAAAUUAGGGUUAGAGAUGAGCAGAUAAACAUUUCACUUCAUUUCAUAAGCUGCGUGAUGAAGGAAUCGAAUUGGCUAUUCCCAUGGAAGUGAAUUAUUAAUAAUUGCAAUUCAUUUUUAGUGUUGUGUGAUAUGUGAUAUUAUUAAUCGUGAGGAGAGUACGUGUGUACGCUUCUGACCAAGAACAAUUUAGAGCUGUUACUGGAAUUCCGACUGAACUGCUUUUCGUCAGUGAACAUUAUAUCGUUCAACUGACCCACACAAUCAAUUUCGACCAAUCAAUUACCAGACAAGAGCGAUUAGAUUUUCGAUAUUUGGAAAAGCCUGAGAUCGUGAAUUGUGUAUUGCUCAUGGAUUUGUUGCAAUUUUGAUUCGAAAUGGAAAUGAUUUAUUUGCAAUUAAUUGGUUCGAAAGUGAUUAUUAAAUAGUGAUCAUUUUAAUAGAUGCUUUUUGUAACAUUUGAACAGUUUUCCAUUAUUAUAAUUAACAAAUUUUGAUUAUUUGCAAUUUAAAA